AACGAACGCUGGCGGCAUGCCUAACACAUGCAAGUCGAACGAGACCUUCGGGACUAGUGGCGCACGGGUGCGUAACGCGUGGGAACCUGCCCUUAGGUUCGGAAUAACUCCCCGAAAGGGGUGCUAAUACCGGAUAAUGUCUUCGGACCAAAGAUUUAUCGCCUUUGGAUGGGCCCGCGUUGGAUUAGCUAGUUGGUAGGGUAAAAGCCUACCAAGGCGACGAUCCAUAGCUGGUCUGAGAGGAUGAUCAGCCACACUGGGACUGAGACACGGCCCAGACUCCUACGGGAGGCAGCAGUGGGGAAUAUUGGACAAUGGGCGAAAGCCUGAUCCAGCAAUGCCGCGUGAGUGAUGAAGGCCUUAGGGUUGUAAAGCUCUUUUACCCGGGAUGAUAAUGACAGUACCGGGAGAAUAAGCUCCGGCUAACUCCGUG
rnacentral:rRNA from 1 species